ACCUCGCGAACGUGUUUAACAACUGCGGAGUCCGCGCGGUGUUGGUCGAUUAAGAAAGCAGGACGGUGGUCAUGGAAGUCGAAAUCCGCUAAGGAGUGUGUAACAACUCACCUGCCGAAUCAACUAGCCCCGAAAAUGGAUGGCACUUAAGCGCGCGACCUACACCCGGCCAUCGGGGAAAGUGCCAGGCCCCGAUG
rnacentral:ncRNA from 1 species